rnacentral:rRNA from 1 species
UACGUAGGGGGCAAGCGUUAUCCGGAUUUACUGGGUGUAAAGGGAGCGUAGGCGGCAGAGCAAGUCCGGAGUGAAAGCCCGGGGCCCAACCCCGGGACUGCUCUGGAAACUGUUAAGCUGGAGUGCGGGAGGGGCAGGCGGAAUUCCUGGUGUAGCGGUGAAAUGCGUAGAUAUCAGGAGGAACACCGGCGGCGAAGGCGGCCUGCUGGACCGUGACUGACGUUGAGGCUCGAAAGCGUGGGGAGCAAACAGG